UAGUUCUGGUUUCUAUUAAGUAGCGCAGAAGUUUUUCGCCUUUCAUUAAAGAUUUCCUUGGAGAGGAACAUCAAUGAGCUUGAUGUAUUUUCAUGAGCUUUGCUCUGGCAAAGCU